AGCACGUAGGUGGGUUUGUAAGUCAGAUGUGAAAGUCUUCUGUUCAACGGAAGAAUUGCAUCUGAAACUACAAUUCUUGAGUGUAGGAGGGGAGAAUGGAACUUCUGGUGGAGCGGUGAAAUGCGUAGAUAUCAGAAGGAACGCCGGCGGCGAAAGCGAUUCUCUGGCCUAUUACUGACACUCAGUGUGCGAAAGCUAGGGGAGCAAACGGGAUUAGAUACCCCGGUAGUCCUAGCCGUAAACGAUGGGCACUAAGUAGAGGGGUUUU
rnacentral:rRNA from 1 species